UACGGAGGGUGCGAGCGUUGUCCGGAAUCACUGGGCGUAAAGGGCGCGUAGGCGGCGCGAGCAGUCGGUCGUGAAAGUCCGGAGCUCAACUCCGGAUCGGCGGUCGAUACUCUCGUGCUUGAGCACUGUAGAGGCAGGUGGAAUUCCGGGUGUAGCGGUGGAAUGCGUAGAGAUCCGGAAGAACACCGGUGGCGAAGGCGGCCUGCUGGGACGUGGCUGACGCUGAGGCGCGACAGCUAGGGGAGCAAACAGG
rnacentral:rRNA from 1 species